AAAAGCAUAACUAUUUCACCUCUCUUGUUCCAUCCCUAUUCCAAUUGCAAGUAUGAUUUUCUCUCAAAUCUAUAAGAAGAUCAAUUACUUCACCUUCUUUUAUUUUCUUAUUUAUUCAAGUUCUCCAGACUUCUCAGAUAAUGCUUUUCACAAUUCUCUUCAUCUUCUCAACUGGGUAUUGCAACUUUCAGAUCACCACCUCUUUUAAUUUUUGUCCAAAUCUUAUUUUUUUCCCCGGUUAAUCUGUAUGAGGAAUUUAUUUUCCGGUCUGAUUUGACUUUUUUUGUUGGAGAGUUAGGCGUGAGGUAGAAGAUUUUAGGGCAUAAUUUCGAGUUCUUCGCCGCAAUAAUGGUGCUCUUUUUUCAUAUAUUUGCUGCUCUUUAAAGGUUUAAUCUCAGGGAACAUAUUUUAUAAUACGUACAGAGGUAAUAUUC
rnacentral:lncRNA from 1 species